CCUACGGGUGGCAGCAGUGAGGAAUAUUGGUCAAUGGACGAGAGUCUGAACCAGCCAAGUAGCGUGAAGGAUGACUGCCCUAUGGGUUGUAAACUUCUUUUAUAAAGGAAUAAAACGAGGCACGUGUGCCUUUUUGCAUGUACUUUAUGAAUAAGGAUCGGCUAACUCCGUGCCAGCAGCCGCGGUAAUACGGAGGAUCCGCGCGUUAUCCGGAUUUAUUGGGUUUAAAGGGAGCGUAGAUGGGUUGUUAAGUCAGUUGUGAAAGGUUGCGGCUCAACCGUAAAAUUGCAAUUGAUACUGGCAGUCUUGAGUACAGUUGAGGUAGGCGGAAUUCGUGGUGUAGCGGUGAAAUGCUUAGAUAUCACGAAGAACCCCGAUUGCGAAGGCAGCUUACUAAACUGUGACUGACAUUGAUGCUCGAAAGUGUGGGUAUCAAACAGGAUUAGAUACCCUAGUAGUC
rnacentral:rRNA from 1 species